rnacentral:misc_RNA from 1 species
GAUGAAGAACGUAGCGAAAUGCGAUACGUAUUGUGAAUUGCAGAUCAGUGAACCAUCGAAUCUUUGAACGCACCUUGCGGCCGCUGGCAUUCCGGCGGUCACGCCCGUCCGAGCGUCAUUUCAACCCUCAGGCCCCCGCGCCUGGCCUUGGGCUCACAGGAUUGACCCUGGCGCCCUAACCGCAGCGGCGGCGGCGUCCCGAAGGCUCUGCGUAGUUCAGCUCUCGCAGUGGCCCCGGGCGCGGCCUGCCUAGACCCUCACUGUAGCUUGACCUCGGGUGGGCGGGGAUACCCGCUGAACUUAAGCAUAUCAAUAAGCGGAGGA